GCUAGAUGAUGAUCCGUAGUGUCUGAGCAUACUGUAGUUGGUCCUCUGUUUGCUUUUGAUGUAACCCUAUUGUUUCAAGACGGGACUGAUAGCAGC